rnacentral:rRNA from 1 species
CGAGGGGCAUCAGUUUGGUUUGCUUGCAACCAAAGCUGGCGACCGGCGCACGGGUGAGUAACACGUAUCCAACCUGCCUCAUACUCGGGGAUAGCCUUUCGAAAGAAAGAUUAAUAUCCGAUAGCAUAUAUUUCCCGCAUGGGUUUUAUAUUAAAGAAAUUCGGUAUGAGAUGGGGAUGCGUUCCAUUAGUUUGUUGGCGGGGUAACGGCCCACCAAGACUACGAUGGAUAGGGGUUCUGAGAGGAAGGUCCCCCACAUUGGAACUGAGACACGGUCCAAACUCCUACGGGAGGCAGCAGUGAGGAAUAUUGGUCAAUGGACGCGAGUCUGAACCAGCCAAGUAGCGUGAAGGAUGACUGCCCUAUGGGUUGUAAACUUCUUUUAUAUGGGAAUAAAGUGGUCCACGUGUGGAUUUUUGUAUGUACCAUAUGAAUAAGGAUCGGCUAACUCCGUGCCAGCAGCCGCGGUAAUACGGAGGAUCCGAGCGUUAUCCGGAUUUAUUGGGUUUAAAGGGAGCGUAGGCGGAUUGUUAAGUCAGUUGUGAAAGUUUGCGGCUCAACCGUAAAAUUGCAGUUGAUACUGGCAGUCUUGAGUGCAGUAGAGGUGGGCGGAAUUCGUGGUGUAGCGGUGAAAUGCUUAGAUAUCACGAAGAACUCCGAUUGCGAAGGCAGCUCACUGGAGUGUAACUGACGCUGAUGCUCGAAAGUGUGGGUAUCAAACAGGAUUAGAUACCCUGGUAGUCCACACAGUAAACGAUGAAUACUCGCUGUUUGCGAU